GGGGAUUUAGCUCAGUGGUAGAGCGUUUGCCUAGCAAGCACAAGGCCCUGGAUUCGGUCCCCAGCUCCG
rnacentral:tRNA from 1 species